rnacentral:rRNA from 1 species
GACGAACGCUGGCGGCGUGCCUAACACAUGCAAGUCGAGCGGGGGGCGUACUUCGGUACAAACCUAGCGGCGGACGGGUGAGUAACACGUGGGUAACCUGCCUCAAAGUGGGGGAUAGCCUUCCGAAAGGAAGAUUAAUACCGCAUAACCCAUAGCUUCCGCAUGGAAGCCAUGGUAAAGCUUUAUCGCUUUGAGAUGGACCCGCGGCGCAUUAGCUAGUUGGUGAGGUAACGGCUCACCAAGGCCACGAUGCGUAGCCGACCUGAGAGGGUGAUCGGCCACAUUGGAACUGAGACACGGUCCAGACUCCUACGGGAGGCAGCAGUGGGGAAUAUUGCACAAUGGGCGAAAGCCUGAUGCAGCAACGCCGCGUGAGUGAUGAAGGCCUUCGGGUUGUAAAGCUCUGUCUUUUGGGACGAUAAUGACGGUACCAAAGGAGGAAGCCACGGCUAACUACGUGCCAGCCGCCGCGGUAAGAC